CCAUGCAAUCGCCCCCUCUGGCCCUGCCCCUACCAUUAUGUCAUCAUUCAUGAUGUGAUGCUGUCAGAGAGGCCCUUGCCAAAGCCUGCACCAUGCUACUUGGACUUUCAUCCUCCAAAAAAACUUUCCUAAUGUCAUCUCUAGAACUUGCAAGGCUCAAGUCUCAAAGAUGCUUUUCCAACUUAUAAGCAGUUAAUGGAUCGAAGGGAGUAAUUUCUACCAGAAUUAUGGAUGGCACUUUGGAAUUUAUUUAUAAAGACACAAAUUUUUAAUAGAGACAGAGUUCUUCAAAGAAGUCUAAAGUACUUUUGAGGAAGAUCUGUUCAUCGAUUUCUCUCUAAUCAUGUGUCUGAAGAAAAGAAGUCCAUUUAUAGCCUAAAGAACUAGGUCUUUGG